GCAUAACUACACCCCUACACCAUGCACACCCAUGAUAUUUGCUGCAAAAGCCUCAGCAGCCUCCUGGACUGUCUGCUGACCUGAAGAAUGUCAAACAUUAUCUUCUCUGUUUGGCACUGCUCGGAUGCUUCGGUAAAAAUUGUCAAAUAUUCUUGCAGCUGAAGAAUUUUGACUAAUGUGUAAACACUCACUUCACCUCUUUUUUAUAUAUAUAUUUUCAGCAACCGUUUUUGCAGCCCCCAACGACAAGGUGAGAUGGUGCGUCAUUUCCCAAAUAGAACUUGACAAAUGUUUGGACCUCGCAACCAGAGCUCCGAAGUUUUCCUGUGUGAAGAGAGAGAGCACUCAGAGCUGCAUCGUGGGAAUAAUGGU